UACGUAGGGGGCAAGCGUUGUCCGGAAUCAUUGGGCGUAAAGCGCGUGUAGGCGGCCCGGUAAGUCCGCUGUGAAAGUCGGGGGCUCAACCCUCGAAUGCCGGUGGAUACUGUCGGGCUAGAGUGCGGAAGAGGCGAGUGGAAUUCCUGGUGUAGCGGUGAAAUGCGCAGAUAUCAGGAGGAACACCAAUGGCGAAGGCAGCUCGCUGGGACGGUACUGACGCUGAGACGCGAAAGCGUGGGGAGCAAACAGG
rnacentral:rRNA from 1 species